AUUGAACGCUGGCGGCAUGCCUUACACAUGCAAGUCGAACGGCAGCAUGGGUGCUUGCACCUGAUGGCGAGUGGCGAACGGGUGAGUAAUGCAUCGGAACGUACCGUGUAGUGGGGGAUAACGUAGCGAAAGUUACGCUAAUACCGCAUACGCCCCGAGGGGGAAAGUGGGGGACCGCAAGGCCUCACGCUAUAUGAGCGGCCGAUGUCGGAUUAGCUAGUUGGUAGGGUAAAGGCCUACCAAGGCGACGAUCCGUAGCGGGUCUGAGAGGAUGAUCCGCCACACUGGGACUGAGACACGGCCCAGACUCCUACGGGAGGCAGCAGUGGGGAAUUUUGGACAAUGGGCGCAAGCCUGAUCCAGCCAUGCCGCGUGAGUGAAGAAGGCCU
rnacentral:rRNA from 1 species